rnacentral:rRNA from 1 species
GUCUACGUCCAUGCCACCCUGAACAAGCCCGAUCCCAUCUGAUCUCAGAAGCUAAGCAGGGUCAGGCCUGGUUAGUACUUGGAUGGGAGACCACCCAGGAAGACCAGGUGCUGUAAGAG